AACCGGUGCUUUCAACGCAAACGCGCGCAAGCGCGCCGCGUGGUGAAAGGUAAACGGGAAACAGGAACGCGCCGCCGGACCGUCCAUGAGACGGCCUGCGACGGCGCCAGGCCUGUGCUGCCCCCGCAACGGUCAUCCCGCCCCAUUAUUCCAGGCCGCGCCACGGCGCCUGGAACCGGGUGGGACAGCCCGAUACCGGCCGGUU
rfam:Bordetella genomosp. 8 strain AT19157, complete genome.